rnacentral:rRNA from 1 species
AACAGCUGGAAACGGCUGCUAAUACCGAAUACGUCUUUUCAUCGCAUGGUGAGAAGAAGAAAAGGACGGCCUCUACACAAAGCGGUCGCCGAAGGAGGGGUUUUUGCGUCUGAUUAGCUAGUUGGAGGGGUAACGGCCCAACAAGGCGACGAUCAGUAGCCCGGUCUGAGAGGAUGAACGGCCACAUUGGGGACUGAGACACGGCCCAGACUCCUACGGGAGGCAGCAGUGGGGAAUCUUCCGCAAUGGACGAAGGUCUGACGGAGCAACGCCGCGUGAGUGAAGACGGUCUUCGGAUUGUAAAGCUCUGUUAUACGGGACGAACGGCAAGGUGGUAAAUAGCCAUCAUGAGUGACGGUACCGUAAGAGAAAGCCACGGCUAACUACGUGCCAGCAGCCGCGGUAAU